rnacentral:rRNA from 1 species
UACGUAGGGUCCGAGCGUUGUCCGGAAUUAUUGGGCGUAAAGGGCGCGUAGGCGGCCUGAUAAGUAGGGGGUGAAAUCCUACGGCUUAACCGCAGGGCUGCCUUCUAAACUGUCGAGCUUGAGCACGGUAGAGGCAGAUGGAAUUCCCGGUGUAGCGGUGGAAUGCGUAGAGAUCGGGAGGAAGGCCGGUGGCGAAGGCGGCGCUCUGGAACAUUUCUGACGCUGAGGCUCGAAAGCGUGGGGAGCAAACAGG